rnacentral:rRNA from 1 species
UACACGACCGUACCGCAAACCGACACUGGUGCGCGAGAUGAGUAUUCUAAGGCGCUUGAGAGAACUCAGGAGAAGGAACUCGGCAAAUUGACACCGUAACUUCGGAAGAAGGUGUGCCUUUAGUAGGUGAAGUCCCUCGCGGAUGGAGCCCAAUGAGGUUGCAAAAAAUCGGUGGCUGCGACUGUUUAUUAAAAACACAGCACUCUGCAAACACGAAAGUGGACGUAUAGGGUGUGACGCCUGCCCGGUGCUGGAAGAUUAAAUGAUGGGGUGCAAGCUCUUGAUUGAAGUCCCAGUAAACGGCGGCCGUAACUAUAACGGUCCUAAGGUAGCGAAAUUCCUUGUCGGGUAAGUUCCGACCUGCACGAAUGGCGUAACGAUGGCCACACUGUCUCCUCCUGAGACUCAGCGAAGUUGAAAUGUUUGUGAUGAUGCAAUCUCCCCGCGGAAAGACGGAAAGACCCCAUGAACCUUUACUGUAGCUUUGUAUUGGACUUUGAACAGAUCUGUGUAGGAUAGGUGGGAGGCUUUGAAGCAGGGUCGCUAGAUCUUGUGGAGCCAACGUUGAAAUACCACCCUGGUGUGUUUGAGGUUCUAACCUAGGCCCGUAAUCCGGGUUGGGGACAGUGCAUGGUAGGCAGUUUGACUGGGGCGGUCUCCUCCCAAAGUGUAACGGAGGAGUUCGAAGGUACGCUAGUUACGGUCGGACAUCGUGACGAUAGUGCAAUGGCAUAAGCGUGCUUAACUGCGAGACUGACAAGUCGAGCAGAUGCGAAAGCAGGACAUAGUGAUCCGGUGGUUCUGUAUGGAAGGGCCAUCGCUCAACGGAUAAAAGGUACUCUGGGGAUAACAGGCUGAUACCGCCCAAGAGUUCAUAUCGACGGCGGUGUUUGGCACCUCGAUGUCGGCUCAUCUCAUCCUGGGGCUGUAGCCGGUCCCAAGGGUAUGGCUGUUCGCCAUUUAAAGAGGUACGUGAGCUGGGUUUAAAACGUCGUGAGACAGUUUGGUCCCUAUCUUCCGUGGGCGCUGCAGAUUUGAGGAAGCCUGCUCCUAGUACGAGAGGACCGGAGUGGACGCACCUCUGGUGUAUCGGUUGUCACGCCAGUGGCAUUGCCGAGUAGCUAUGUGCGGAAGAGAUAACCGCUGAAAGCAUCUAAGCGGGAAACUCGUUUCAAGAUGAGAUCUGCCGGGGCCUUGAGCCCCCUGAAGAGUCGUUCAAGACCAGGACGUUGAUAGGUCGGGUGUGGAAGCGCAGUAAUGCGUUAAGCUAACCGAUACUAAUUGCUCGUGCGGCUUGACCU